GGAUUAGAUACCCUGGUAGUCCACGCCGUAAACGAUGUCAACUAGCCGUUGGGAGGGUAAAACCUCUUAGUGGCGCAGCUAACGCGAUAAGUUGACCGCCUGGGGAGUACGCGCGCAAGCGUAAAACUCAAAGGAAUUGACGGGGGCCCGCACAAGCGGUGGAGCAUGUGGUUUAAUUCGAUGCAACGCGAAGAACCUUACCUGGCCUUGACAUCCUCAGAACUUGUUAGAGAUAACUUGGUGCCUUCGGGAAUUGAGUGACAGGUGCUGCAUGGCUGUCGUCAGCUCGUGCCG
rnacentral:rRNA from 1 species